UUUGGUUGUUUUUCAGGUGAGAUCCCCCUGAGCAGUAUUGACCUAGAGAAGUUGUACCCGGAGGCAGUGAAUGCCAAGGCUUUGCCAGGUUUUCAGCCAUUGUUGAGAAAAUCUGCAAUGGAUGAGCUAUGUGAACUGGGGCUGUGAACUCCUUAUCUGGUGAAGGCCAGCCUGCAUGUGUGAUGCUCUGACUGGCAGCAGCCCCUUUGCACCAACAACAGAAUUCACUCAACUGGAUUCAACACCCCCCCUUCCAUCUUUUGUCAGCUGAUGUAAAAUCAGAAACAUCUCUACUGAAGGUAAGUCAGUUAUGCU
rnacentral:lncRNA from 1 species